rnacentral:misc_RNA from 1 species
UCAAACUUGGUCAUUUAGAGGAAGUAAAAGUCGUAACAAGGUUUCCGUAGGUGAACCUGCGGAAGGAUCAUUAAAGGUUUAGGGUACUCAGUGCCCAAACUUCAACCCUAUGUCUUUGUUCAAUUGUUUCUUUGCCGGUUUCGGCCGGCAGAAGAUUUCUCAAACUCAUCAUGAAUGUGUCUUCUGAAUUUAAUAAAAAAAAUAAAUUAAAACUUUCAACAACGGAUCUCUUGGUUCUGGCAUCGAUGAAGAACGCAGC